AGCGGGGUAGAGCAGUCUGGUAGCUCACGGGGCUCAUAAUCCUGAGGUCGAUGGUUCAAAUCCAUCCCCCGCCA
rnacentral:tRNA from 2 species